rnacentral:rRNA from 1 species
CCUACGGGAGGCAGCAGUGAGGAAUAUUGGUCAAUGGGCGGGAGCCUGAACCAGCCAAGUCGCGUGAGGGAUGACUGUCCUACGGAUUGUAAACCUCUUUUGCCGGGGAGCAAGCGUGCGUUCGUGAACGCGCGUCGAGAGUACCCGGAGAAAAAGCAUCGGCUAACUCCGUGCCAGCAGCCGCGUUAAUACGGAGGAUGCGAGCGUUAUACGGAUUUAUUGGGUUUAAAGGGUGCGUAGGGGGGAUGCGAAGUCAGCGGUAAAAGUGCGGUGCUCAACGCCGUCGGGCCGUUGAAACUGGCGUUCUAGAGUGGGCGAGAAGUAUGCGGAAGGCGUGGUGUAGCGGUGAAAUGCAUAGAUAUCACGCAGAACUCCGAUUGCGAAGGCAGCAUACCGGGGCCCUACUGACGCUGAGGCACGAAAGCGUGGGUAUCGAACAGGAUUAGAUACCCGGGUAGUC